rnacentral:rRNA from 1 species
CCUACGGGAGGCAGCAGUGGGGAAUAUUGCACAAUGGGCGAAAGCCUGAUGCAGCAACGCCGCGUGAAGGAAGAAGGCCUUCGGGUCGUAAACUUCUGUCCUUGGGGAAGAAGAACUGACGGUACCCAAGGAGGAAGCCCCGGCUAACUACGUGCCAGCAGCCGCGGUAAGACGUAGGGGGCAAGCGUUAUCCGGAAUUAUUGGGCGUAAAGAGUACGUAGGUGGCAACCUAAGCGCAGGGUUAAAGGCAAUGGCUCAACCUGUGUAUGGCACUUGAUACUUGCAAGCUGGAAUGCGGUAGAGGUAAAGGGAAGUCCUGGUGUAGCGGUGAAAUGCUUAGAUAUCAGGAGGAACAUCGGUGGCGUAAGCGCUUUACUGGGCCGUAAUUGACGCUGAGGAACGAAAGCCAGGGUAGCAAAUGGGAUUAGAUACCCCUGUAGUC